UGUCGUCGUCGUUUAAGAGAUUUUUCUACGAUAAGUGGUGCUCAUCUUAAACUAUGUUUUGUGUCAUUGACCUGCCUGAUGUGAAAACCGUUAACGCCUGAGGUGUUUUUGUGUGCUUUUUUAAUAAUCUAGUGACGUCAGCACGAUGACCCUAGUUGAAGAGUAGACCUAUGGAUCAACUUUCUGAGUAAAAUAAAUUGUGAAAUGAAUUACUGUUACCAAUAAACACAUUUGUCAUAUGAUAGGGUAGGCUAUACUGUUCAUUUGAUAGACAUAUAUUGCUGAAAUAUUGAGAAAUAAAGCCUUGCUUGUGGUGAUCAGUAGUUGAGUAGUAUUUCCAUCUGUUAUGGUUAAUGUUUGGAAGAUUCCAGCUCUGUCCUGCAGUUGCCACGCCCCCUAUACUUUGCCACUCAGUUCCAUCUGUAGUUUACCACACCUGCAAUCAAUCUGCCUCAAUCAGCCACAGACUCAAAUAGGCAGCACCUGUGCACACAGCCCUUCGUUUGUUCAAAACCACAUGGAGAAUCUUUGAUGCUGGACAUGCUGUGUUUCUUGCUUUGUGUGCGUUAUUGCUCUAUAAACCACACACCCAAACACGUAACCAUACAAACCUGUAACCUGUCUUCUUGAUAAUGCUUGGAAUAAAAGAAUUGUGGAAUUGAAA